UACGGAGGGUGCGAGCGUUGUCCGGAAUCAUUGGGCGUAAAGGGCGCGUAGGUGGCCCGGUGAGUCUUUGGUGAAAGCGCGGGGCUCAACCCUGCGUCGGCCAGGGAUACUGCCGCGGCUCGAGCACUGUAGAGGCAGGCGGAAUUCCGGGUGUAGCGGUGGAAUGCGUAGAGAUCCGGAAGAACACCUAUGGCGAAGGCAGCUCUCUGGGACGGUACUGACGCUGAGACGCGAAAGCGUGGGGAGCGAACAGG
rnacentral:rRNA from 1 species